UCCAGCGCACUCACCUAUCCACUAAACAGCAACUUCAAAAUUGAAAGAUUUUAUUUGUUUUUUUUAAAAACACCUAAUCUAGGCAAAAUUAUUUUUGCCUAGAUUAGGUGUUUUUAAAAAAAACAAAUAAAAUCUUUCAAUUUUGAAGUUGCUGUUUAGUGGAUAGGUGAGUGCGCUGGA
rnacentral:miRNA from 1 species